CCUGUCAGUAUGUCCAAGUUUGUGCGUUCUAUUUUGCCAUGCACUCAAUAGUACGUACUAUUCCAACAAAAAGACAGUAACUUACCUACUAUUAGGACUAGUAGGCGAAUAGUAGGUGUCGUCUAUAACCAUUUCCAAGUCUCACCAGGCUGAAAGAAAAGAAAUGGAUUUUAUGUUCUCUUUAAAGAACUUCCUCAGAGUAAAAAAAGCCAUGUGUAUCUGACAUCCAACUGGUCUCUUAGACUUUAGGAUUAAUCAAAUAAUGAGAGGGAACAACAACUAUAAAACAGGGGUCCAAGUUCUACAUCCAAUGGAAAAUAUCAAUUCCUUCCAGGCGUUUUGGUCCAACUCUGUCGGAAAAAAACAACGAAAGAAAAUGAAAAGACAAAAGAGAGGGCGAGAGAAAGCGAACUGCUUCACAACCAGCACCCACCUGAAGACAUCAGAGUCAGGCAGUCGUUCAAUGAUAUAAUCUUUGUUGAUUCCAAUAACUGCUUUCUGUUUAUGAUAGAUUGUGUGCAUAAUUAUGCAUGGCGUGUGUGUUUUUGGAUGACAUAGAUUGCUAUCUCAGCUUGAUACUAUAAGACAUCCAUAAGAUAUUUUUAGGAUGAGUUCUCUGAACACUACCAAUCUACAGUAAGUCCCCUGUAAUCCACUUAAACAGUUAUUAUCUGUAAUUGUACCUCAAUUUAAGAAAAUGUAUAAUCAGUUGAUUCAAAUAUUUACCUUGCCUUUAAUCUGAUAAUGUGUUUUGCUAUCAAAUGCAAACACUUUAGACAAGAUCAUUACAAUGUAAUCUGUUUGUCAUUAUUCAUAUAAAAUAGGCCUACUGGAAAAAACCCACCACGCAAAAGUUCAGGUGUUACAUAUAUUUCCAUAUUGCGAUACAUAUGGUUCUACUAUACUAUAAUUUGAACUGAUAUUCGCCAUCUCCAUAAUCUUUCUUACCCAAGAAUCAAAGAACAUCCUAAUUGCAGCUAUUCGUAAGGCGCGUUUGAUGUAAUCUUUUG